AUUGAACGCUGGCGGCAUGCCUUACACAUGCAAGUCGAACGGCAGCACGGGUGCUUGCACCUGGUGGCGAGUGGCGAACGGGUGAGUAAUACAUCGGAACAUGUCCUGUAGUGGGGGAUAGCCCGGCGAAAGCCGGAUUAAUACCGCAUACGAUCCACGGAUGAAAGCGGGGGACCUUCGGGCCUCGCGCUUUAGGGUUGGCCGAUGGCUGAGUAGCUAGUUGGUGGGGUAAAGGCCUACCAAGGCGACGAUCAGUAGCUGGUCUGAGAGGACGACCAGCCACACUGGGACUGAGACACGGCCCAGACUCCUACGGGAGGCAGCAGUGGGGAAUUUUGGACAAUGGGCGAAAGCCUGAUCCAGCAAUGCCGCGUGUGUGAAGAAGGCCUUCGGGUUGUAAAGCACUUUUGUCCGGAAAGAAAUCCUUGACUCUAAUACAGUCGGGGGAUGACGGUACCGGAAGAAUAAGCACCGGCUAACUACGUG
rnacentral:rRNA from 1 species